UUUGGAAAAGUAUAAACCUAAGGCAUCACCUUUACAGAAAAUAUCUUCCACGGAAACAUCUAAAGGCCACAGAUCAGCCCUGGGGUUCAGAGGGAUCCUGACAGCUACUCCUCAAGAUCCUCUCUGUUGUGAUUCAUCCCCCCGGGGCCCUACAGUUUCUCCUUCCUGACUCUUACAUUUCUUUGGAUGGCAUCAUUAUUUACCUGUCUCCUCCCAUAGUUAGGUGCCAAGCACUGUGGAUUCUGCCUCUCAGUGUCCAGACACCCAUUUUCCUUCCCACUGUUCCUUCCCCAUGGAGAAGCCUGUGGCUGGCUGACAGCAGAGAGAGAUGCUCAACUUGGAGAAGGUGUUACCUGGGCCAGGUGGGGAAGGUUUGUUUGCAGAGCAAAGAAGUGAAGGAAGUAUUAACCCUUUGCAUGGCCUCCUGAGAAUCCGACAAGACGUAAAUAGCCAAGAAUAUCUGUGAAACUUCAUCACUGAGUUACAAUAUUUAUCACUGCAAGUGUGUUGUUCAUUGACACUAUAAAGCCAUGUGGAAUUAAGCAGCCUUGAAACACAAAAUGGAGAAAGGCUAAGAGCUGAGAAUUGUUGCCUUCAGGGAAAUACAAUCAAUGUCAAGCAAACAACCACCCCAAAAUGGUUAGCUUUAUCAGCAUUCAGGCCUACAGUGAACGCAAAUGUUCCAGAUCUGAGUUUCAAUUUUUAAAGAAUAAACAUAUGCAAAUGA
rnacentral:lncRNA from 1 species